AAAAGAAGAAGAAGAAGAAGAAAGCGUUUCCAAUACAAAAGCAAAAAGAUUAAUAUUAAUUAUUGGAUUUGGGUGGAUGAGUGUGGGGAAUGAGAAUGCAAAAUUUUCAAUAAUGGUUUUAGUGAAUGAUUGGUUUUGGUAUGAAUAAGAAAAAAAAGGAGUGGUGGGUUUUGUUAGAGUUUGAGAGAUUAGGAGAGAGACAAGGUAAAGUGUGAGCAGGUGGAGUGUAGAGAAGAACUUUAUAGAAAUAUAAAAAAG
rnacentral:misc_RNA from 1 species